UUGAACGCUGGCGGCAUGCCUUACACAUGCCAGUCGCACGGCAGCACGGGUGCUUGCACCUGGUGGCGAGUGGCGAACGGGUGAGUAAUACAUCGGAACAUGUCCUGUAGUGGGGGAUAGCCCGGCGAAAGCCGGAUUAAUACCGCAUACGAUCCACGGAUGAAAGCGGGGGACCUUCGGGCCUCGCGCUAUAGGGUUGGCCGAUGGCUGAUUAGCUAGUUGGUGGGGUAAAGGCCUACCAAGGCGACGAUCAGUAGCUGGUCCGAGAGGACGACCGGCCACACUGGAACUGAGACACGGCCCAGACUCCUACGGGAGGCAGCAGUGGGGAAUUUUAGACAAUGUGCGAAAGCUUGACCCAGAAAUGCCGCGUGUGUGAAGAAGGCCUUCGGGUUGUAAAGCUCUGUUGUUAAGGAAGAAAAACUUGGCUCUAAACCAGGCGCGGGAUGACGGUACCGAAAGAAAAAGCACCGGCUAACUACGUG
rnacentral:rRNA from 1 species